GAUGAACGCUGGCGGCGUGCCUAAUACAUGCAAGUCGAACGCAUUGUGGUUGAAAUGAUAUGAAGAACUUGUUCAGAUUUGAUUUUCAACAUUGCAAUGAGUGGCGAACGGGUGAGUAACACGUGGGAAACCUACCUCUUAGCAGGGGAUAACAUUUGGAAACAAAUGCUAAUACCGUAUAAUAAUUAAAACCGCAUGGUUUUAGUUUAAAAGAUGGUCUUGCUAUCACUAAGAGAUGGUCCCGCGGUGUAUUAGUUAGUUGGUGAGGUAAUGGCUCACCAAGACAAUGAUACAUAGCCGAGUUGAGAGACUGACCGGCCACAAUGGGACUGAGACACGGCCCAUACUCCUACGGGAGGCAGCAGUAGGGAAUCUUCCACAAUGGACGAAAAGUCUGAUGGAGCAACGCCGCGUGUGUGAUGAAGGGUUUCGGCUCGUAAAACACUGUUGUAAGAGAAGAAUGACAUUGAGAGUAAACUGUUCAAAUGUGUGACGGUAU
rnacentral:rRNA from 1 species